CAAAUUAAAGCUUAAUUAGUAAAGUAUUUUAUUUACAUUAAAAAGUUAUCGUGCAAUUCGAUUAAUUUGA
rnacentral:tRNA from 1 species